UCCGUUGGUGAACCAGCGGAGGGAUCAUUAGCGAGUUAAUUACAAACUCCAAACCCAUGUGAACAUACCUACUGUUGCCUCGGCAGGCCGUGCUGCGCGGCUGGAUCGCCCACCCCCCGCGUGGGUAGCUACCCUGGAGUAGCUACCCUGUAGCGGGAGCGGCCCGCCCCGCGGCGCGCCAACAGGCCUGCCGAAGGACCCCUAAACUCUGUUUUGCACCUGUAUCUCUGAGUUUAUUAUACAAAUAAGUUAAAACUUUCAACAACGGAUCUCUUGGUUCUGGCAUCGAUGAAGAACGCAGCGAAAUGCGAUAAGUAAUGUGAAUUGCAGAAUUCAGUGAAUCAUCGAAUCUUUGAACGCACAUUGCGCCUAAUAGUAUUCUGUUAGGCAUGCCUGUUCGAGCGUCAUUUCAACCCCCAAGCCCUAUUUGCUUGACGUUGGGAGUUUACGGAGACGUAAUUCCUCAAAUAUAGUGGCGGAGCUAGGUCGUGCUCUAAGCGUAGUAACCAAAUUCUCGCUUCUGAAGCCGGCCCGGGUCCUGCCGUAAAACCCCCUAUA
rnacentral:rRNA from 1 species